GACGAACGCUGGCGGCGUGCUUAACACAUGCCAGUCGAACGGAAAGGCCCCUUUGGGGGUACUCGAGUGGCGAACGGGUGAGUAACACGUGAGUAACCUGCCCUUGACUUCGGGAUAACUUCAGGAAACUGGGGCUAAUACCGGAUAGGAAUCCUUGCUGCAUGGUGGGGGUUGGAAAGCUUCGGCGGUUUUGGAUGGACUCGCGGCUUAUCAGCUUGUUGGUGGGGUAGUGGCUUACCAAGGCUUUGACGGGUAGCCGGCCUGAGAGGGCGACCGGCCACAUUGGGACUGAGAUACGGCCCAGACUCCUACGGGAGGCAGCAGUGGGGAAUAUUGCACAAUGGGCGGAAGCCUGAUGCAGCAACGCCGCGUGCGGGAUGACGGCUUUCGGGUUGUAAACCGCUUUCAGCAGGGGCGAAGCUUGUGGUGACGGUACCUGCAGAAGAAGCACCGGCUAACUACGUG
rnacentral:rRNA from 1 species